AUGGAAGCAGCUGCGGUUGGCACCGCCGUCGGCAAGCUCGCGCCUAAGCUCUAUGACCUGUUGCUAGCAAAUCGCAAGGUGCGGGCGGAGCUGGAGCAUGACAUCGAGUACAUCAAGAAGGAGCUUCUCAUGAUCUCUGCCGUCAUCCGACAAGAUGGCGGGAGGAGGAGGGGCGGCGACGACGACGUCCACGGCCGCUGGAUCGCGAUGGUGCGUGAGCUGGCGCGCGAGAUCGAGGACUGCGUCGACACCUUCACGCACCGUGUGGCGCUCGGGUCCGGCACGUCGUGGAUCCGUCGGGAACUCCACCGGGUGAAGACGGUGAGGGCCCGCAACCAGUUUGCUGCGGCGAUCCACCGUCUCAAGAAGAAAUCAGCGGAGGCAGCCAUGCUGAGAAAGAAGUACGAGCCAGAUUCAUCAUCCGUUCUCACAACAAACUUCCACACCGGCAACACCGGAUCCAGCUGCAACUUGGUAUCUGAUGAUGAGGAGGAUCCGGAGACGGACACGGUGGCCGUGGGCAUCGACGCUCAGCGGGAUGAUCUCCUGGAGCUGAUAAGGGGACAACAACCCGAGGAGCUCAAGGUGGUCUCCCUUGUUGGGUUCGGUGGAAUAGGGAAGACUCUUCUCGCCCGGAAAGCCUACAACGACACGGUUGAGGAAGGGGAAUACGCCGUACGGGCUUGGGUUCGUGCUGCGGACAAAAGCUCAAGGUAUGUUCUCAAGGAGAUACUAGGGCAGCUUGGAAUUGCAGGCAGCAGCUCCUGCCAUCUCAGGAAGCUCCGCGCAAGCCUCAGAGAGUGCCUCGGAACCAAGAGGUUCUUCAUUGUGAUUGAUGACAUACGAGCUGCAUUUUGGCACGAUAUAAAAGAUGCCUUCCCUAUUGUUCCCGGGGUGAGCAGCAUAGUUAUGGUGACGACAGCCAUUCAGUCCAUAGCAAAUGCCUGCAGCACCGCUCAUGGUCAUGUCUAUGUGAUGAAAACUCUUGCCGAGGAACAUUCAAGACAGCUGUUCUUCAAAGAAGCUUUCUUGGAAGAUGCACCGGCACCUGGUGAUCGCUCGCAGCUUAGUGCUUCACAAGCACUGACCAAAUGUGAUGGUCUACCCCUUGCUCUUGUUACCACUGCCCAGUUCUUGCAAAGUAGAGGGAAUCCAGAAAGGUGGGCAAAUCUAUGCAAAUACCUUGGCAAACAUUUGGAGACAGAAAAUACCUUAGCAAGAAUGAAGCGUGUGCUCGUCCAUAGCUAUACUAGCCUUGGUAGUGAAGAUGUCAAGACCUGCUUGCUAUAUCUGAGUAUUUACUCAAGUGGCCAUCCAAUCAGAAGAGGAAUUCUGAUAAGGAGAUUGUUAGCUGAAGGACUCAUCAAUGAAGACAAUAGACGCAGUCCCCUCAGUGUUGCUAUUGACUGUUUUGAUGAGCUGGUCAAUCGGAGUAUCAUUCAACCUAUUCAUGCCAGCGGUGCAGAGGUGAAGAAAUGCCAGAUUCAUGGCAUGAUGCUCGAGUUCAUCCUGCACAAGUCCAUGUGUGAAGACUUUGUUACAUCAUUGUAUGAUAAGGAUCCCCUACCUGGGAGUAAUAUCCGUUGGCUUUCACUGCACAAUAAAACAGUUGAAAGGUCCAAAACGAAUCCAAAGAGUUUAUGUCUUGUCCGGUCCCUGACAGUCUUCGGCAAGGCGCACAAAUCUGUCUUGGACUUUUCCAUGUACAAACUGUUGCGUGUCUUGGAUCUAGAAGAGUGCAAUGAACACUUGGAUGACAAGCAUCUCAAGGAGAUAUGCAAUCUGUUGCUGCUCAGAUACCUAAGCCUCGGGGGCGCUGUUAUGGUUACUAUGCUUCCCAAAGAGGUCAAGAAGCUUCAAUUUUUGGAGACAUUGGACAUAAGAAAAACCAAGAUAGAGAUUCUGCCCACACAAGUCAUGGAGCUGCCAUGUUUAGUUCAUCUGUUUGGAAAGUUCAAGCUCCAACACAAUGUCGGAGACCGGAGAAUGGGUAAGCUAAAGACUUGGUUAUCAGAGAACAGCAAAUUAGAAACGCUGUCUGGAUUUGUUGUGGACAAGAGCCAAGAAUUGCCACAGCUCAUGGAUCAUAUGGAGUACCUGACAAAGGUGAAAAUAUGGUGUGAGUCCACCGGCACCAAUGCCUUUGCCAACAACAACUUAAGUCAUCUCUCAAAAGCCAUCAAGGGGUUCAUCCAGAGAGGCACCCAACCAAACGAAGCUCGUUCACUCUCGCUGAACAUCAACGAUGAAUGGCCCCAAGACUUUCUGGAUUUCUCCCUGGAUAAGGAUUACUCCUACUACCUUACCUCACUCAAACUACGAGGGAACAGAAUAUGCAGCCAGCUGCCUCUGUUUGUUACCAUGCUGGGUGGUCUCACUAAGUUGUGUCUGUCAUUCCCUGAUGAUCAUAAGCUCAGUGGUAACUUUCUAGAUUCCCUGAGUAGAGUGUGUGGCUUGGAGUACCUAAAGCUGAUUGCAACUCAACUGGACAAGCCUGUCAUUGGACAAGGCGCACUCAGAAGCCUACAAUGCCUAUGCGUCAUGGUAGAAGUCAUGACUGAGCUGGAAAUCCAAGAGGGAGCUAUGCCACGUGUCGAAUCACUCCAGCUGCUAUGUAAGAACAUGAAUGGCUUUAGUGGGACGACGAUCCAGUGCCUGCCACGUCUUAAGGAGGUCGUUCUCCAUGAUGGACUGAGCAACCAAACAAAACAGGACUGGAAAGAAGCAGCAAAGAGACACCCAAGAUAUCCCAAGCUCUUCUUCGUCACGAGAGAAAUCGUUAAUGAGCCUACUGCGAAAUUUAUCCCGGCGGCAACAAUUACUGAUAUGAUGGCCCAAGAGGUUCCUGUGGGAAGUAAGCUUGCAGAGAAUUUUGAUAGCCCUGAGAUACCGCCUACUGAUACGACGUCAUCAAUGACAACGCCUCCCGGUGCCAUUUCGAAUGGAGAGUCCGUACCGAUUGCUACUUCUGAGCUGAAAAAUGAGCCUGCUGUGGAAAUCCCCAUGGCACCAGCUGCUACUACUAAUAUGACAUUGCCGGUGAAUGAUGAGGCUUCUGCUAAUGCACAACAAGAAUAUUCUGUACAAGUUGUUACUUCUGAGAUGGGGAGUGUGGUGGCUGCAGAAAACCAUGUGGCGCCAGUUACUACUGAUAAUGCGACCUUCUCGGUGAAUAGCGAUGCCUUUGCUAAUGCACAACAAGAAUAUUGUCCAAUCAACAACAUGGAAAGUUUUAAAAAGAAGAUUGAAGGGGUGGCUAUUUGA
rnacentral:rRNA from 1 species